rnacentral:rRNA from 1 species
GACGAACGCUGGCGGCGUGCUUAACACAUGCAAGUCGAACGGAAAGGCCCUGCUUUUGUGGGGUGCUCGAGUGGCGAACGGGUGAGUAACACGUGAGUAACCUGCCCUUGACUUUGGGAUAACUUCAGGAAACUGGGGCUAAUACCGGAUAGGAGCUCCUGCUGCAUGGUGGGGGUUGGAAAGUUUCGGCGGUUGGGGAUGGACUCGCGGCUUAUCAGCUUGUUGGUGGGGUAGUGGCUUACCAAGGCUUUGACGGGUAGCCGGCCUGGGAGGGUGACCGGCCACAUUGGGACUGUGAUACGGCCCAGACUCCUACGGGAGGCAGCAGUGGGGAAUAUUGCGCAAUGGGCGGAAGCCUGAUGCAGCAACGCCGCGUGCGGGAUGACGGCCUUCGGGUUGUAAACCGCUUUCGCCUGUGACGAAGCGUGAGUGACGGUAAUGGGUAAAGAAGCACCGGCUAACUACGUG